CAAGGGAUAGCUAAGAAGAAAGUGUCUCUUUUACACGGAGUUGAUACCUGUGCAACUCAGGUUUCCUUGA
rnacentral:tRNA from 1 species